GUAGGGAAUAUUGGGCAAUGGGGGAAACCCUGACCCAGCAACGCCGCGUGAGGGAAGAAGGUUUUCGGAUUGUAAACCUCUGUCCUAUGGGACGAAGGAAGUGACGGUACCAUAGGAGGAAGCUCCGGCUAACUACGUGCCAGCAGCCGCGGUAAUACGUAGGGAGCGAGCGUUGUCCGGAAUUACUGGGCGUAAAGGGUGCGUAGGCGGUAUUUUAAGUCGCAUGUGAAAUACUCGGGCUUAACCCGGGGGCUGCAUGCGAAACUGGGGUACUAGAGUGCAGGAGAGGUAAGCGGAAUUCCUAGUGUAGCGGUGAAAUGCGUAGAUAUUAGGAGGAACACCAGUGGCGAAGGCGGCUUACUGGACUGUAACUGACGCUGAGGCACGAAAGCGUGGGGAGCAAACAGGA
rnacentral:rRNA from 1 species